GGGAUUGCCUCAGUAACGGCGAGUGAAGCGGCAACAGCUCAAAUUUGAAAUCUGGCCCCCUCGGGGUCCGAGUUGUAAUUUGUAGAGGGUGCUUUGGCGUUGGCCGUGGUCUAAGUUCCUUGGAACAGGACGUCACAGAGGGUGAGAAUCCCGUACGUGGCCGCCGGUCUUCGCCGUGUAAAGCCCCUUCGACGAGUCGAGUUGUUUGGGAAUGCAGCUCUAAAUGGGAGAUAAAUUUCUUCUAAAGCUAAAUAUUGGCCAGAGACCGAUAGCGCACAAGUAGAGUGAUCGAAAGAUGAAAAGCACUUUGGAAAGAGAGUCAAAAAGCACGUGAAAUUGUUGAAAGGGAAGCGCUUGCAGCCAGACGUGCCCGCAGUUGCUCACCUGGGCUCUCGCCCGGGGCACUCUUCUGCGGGCAGGCCAGCAUCAGUUCGGGCGGUUGGAUAAAGGCCUCUAUCACGUACCACCCUUCGGGGUGUCCUUAUAGGGGAGGCGCAACACGGCCAGCCCGAACUGAGGACCGCGCAUCAGCUAGGAUGCUGGCGUAAUGGCUGUAAGCGGCCCGUCUUGAAACACGGACCAAGGAGUCUAACAUCUAUGCGAGUGUUUGGGUGUCAAGCCCGGGCGCGCAAUGAAAGUGAACGGAGGUGGGAACCCCUCACGGGGUGCACCAUCGACCGAUCCUGAAGUUUACGGAAGGAUUUGAGUAAGAGCAUAGCUGUUGGGACCCGAAAGAUGGUGAACUAUGCCUGAAUAGGGUGAAGCCAGGGGAAACCCUGGUGGAGGCUCGCAGCGGUUCUGACGUGCAAAUCGAUCGUCAAAUUUGGGCAUAGGGGCGAAAGACUAAUCGAACCAUCUA
rnacentral:rRNA from 1 species